rnacentral:lncRNA from 1 species
AAAGAGCUCCGAGAAGAAGAGCGCCGCCGACUCGACCAAGAGCAAGGAUCCCAAAGGAAAGUCGGCCGGGGACGAGAACACCGCCAAGAACAAGCGCUACGGGAUCGAGGAAGUCAAGGACCUGGUGAGGUUCCGGACGGAGUUACAAGCCAAGUUUGAGACAAUGUCGACGCACCUGGAGCUGUGGACGAGCAUCGGCGAGAAGAUGGGCGAGCGCGGGCAUCCCAGGAGGCAGUGGGAGAGCUACCGGGACAAGUGGGACAUCGAGCUGCGUCGGUACCAAAAGGAGCUCA